UGCAAGUCGAACGAUGAAGCCUUUCGGGGUGGAUUAGUGGCGAACGGGUGAGUAACACGUGGGCAAUCUGCCCUUCACUCUGGGACAAGCCCUGGAAACGGGGUCUAAUACCGGAUAACACUCUCUCCUGCAUGGGGGAGGGUUGAAAGCUCCGGCGGUGAAGGAUGAGCCCGCGGCCUAUCAGCUUGUUGGUGGGGUGAUGGCCUACCAAGGCGACGACGGGUAGCCGGCCUGAGAGGGCGACCGGCCACACUGGGACUGAGACACGGCCCAGACUCCUACGGGAGGCAGCAGUGGGGAAUAUUGCACAAUGGGCGAAAGCCUGAUGCAGCGACGCCGCGUGAGGGAUGACGGCCUUCGGGUUGUAAACCUCUUUCAGCAGGGAAGAAGCGAGAGUGACGGUACCUGCAGAAGAAGCGCCGGCUAACUACGUGCCAGCAGCCGCGGUAAUACGUAGGGCGCAAGCGUUGUCCGGAAUUAUUGGGCGUAAAGAGCUCGUAGGCGGCUUGUCGCGUCGGAUGUGAAAGCCCGGGGCUUAACCCCGGGUCUGCAUUCGAUACGGGCAGGCUAGAGUGUGGUAGGGGAGAUCGGAAUUCCUGGUGUAGCGGUGAAAUGCGCAGAUAUCAGGAGGAACACCGGUGGCGAAGGCGGAUCUCUGGGCCAUUACUGACGCUGAGGAGCGAAAGCGUGGGGAGCGAACAGGAUUAGAUACCCUGGUAGUCCACGCCGUAAACGUUGGGAACUAGGUGUUGGCGACAUUCCACGUCGUCGGUGCCGCAGCUAACGCAUUAAGUUCCCCGCCUGGGGAGUACGGCCGCAAGGCUAAAACUCAAAGGAAUUGACGGGGGCC
rnacentral:rRNA from 1 species